CUUUUUUUUUACCAUACUUGUAGAUAUUGAUUUGAUAUUUGAUAUAUUAUUUAAACUUUGACAAGUUACAGAUCAUUACAGUAGUUUGUUCCAAUACAAUGAAUUUGUAAUCGGUAGGGGACUAUGUAUUGUCAUCCAAUACUCUCAAAAUGCUUGUAAAUUCUGGCUCAUGCUAGUGUUGAGAAAAUAAUAAAAAAAAUAAUGGG
rnacentral:lncRNA from 1 species